UCUGCUGAGGAGCAGAACAAGCGGUAAGUAAAGCGAUUGAAGCCGCAAGAACCAGUUUUUUCA
rnacentral:sRNA from 1 species